rnacentral:rRNA from 1 species
GUGGGGAAUAUUGGACAAUGGGCGAAAGCCUGAUCCAGCAAUGCCGCGUGAGUGAUGAAGGCCUUAGGGUUGUAAAGCUCUUUUACCAGGGAUGAUAAUGACAGUACCUGGAGAAUAAGCUCCGGCUAACUCCGUGCCAGCAGCCGCGGUAAUACGGAGGGAGCUAGCGUUGUUCGGAAUUACUGGGCGUAAAGCGCGCGUAGGCGGUUUAUCAAGUCAGGGGUGAAAUCCCGGGGCGCAACCCCGGAACUGCCCUUGAAACUGGUUCACUAGAAUCCUGGAGAGGCGAGUGGAAUUCCGAGUGUAGAGGUGAAAUUCGUAGAUAUUCGGAAGAACACCAGUGGCGAAGGCGACUCGCUGGACAGGUAUUGACGCUGAGGUGCGAAAGCGUGGGGAGCAAACAGGAUUAGAAACCCCAGUAGUCC